AACUGCUGCACUCGUAUGCAUAUUUUAAGUACCCACAUAUACAUACGUAUAUACUUAUAUAUAUAUGUAUAUAUCUGUAUAUACAUAUGGUAUAUAUAAGUAUAAAUGGACGCAAAUGUCAAUGCGAAAAGUAAUUUACUGCAGCAAAAUGGCAAAUAUGCAAUAAAAAGUUGUGUCUUACUGUUCAGCCUUUGCCUGGUUGGAACUAACUUAACUAAAUAUUACUGACGACCUAAAAAAUUAACUCAUAUGUUAUUAAAGUUAUACAAGGAGCGCUCCAAAGUAAACAGGACAGAACAGAAGAGGAACAGACAGACAGAAAAAACAGAACAAAAUCUAUUUAUUUUAUUCAAAAUAGUUUUCUUCCGCUUUAAUACAGCUUUAUUCACGGUCCAAAAGCAUGUCGAACGAGUGUUUUAGCUCGUUGGCCUGUAUGGCCGCAAGUAUGCCGGUGCAAGCCUUUUGAAUUGCUUCUACGUCUGCAAAACGCUUACCUUUCAUGGGAAGAAGUCGCACGGUGCCAUAUCAGGCGAAUACGGGGAGUGGUUUAUGGUUAAAACGUGAUUUUUGGUCAAAUAAUCGUCCUUCGAAUGUUGAAUUCUGAGCAAUUUUUGGUCGUCAGUCAAUUUGUGCGGAACAAACCGUGCACACACCUUUCGUAAGCCCAAAUGUUCGAUCAACAUGCGAUAAAUCGAUAUUUUGGAGAUGUUUAAUUCCAUUUCCAUGAAUUUCAAUGAUGAUUUCGGCUGAUUUUUUAUGAAUUCACGCACAGUUUCAAUGGAAUUUCCGGUGAUCACGGAUUUUGAUUGGUCCACAUGUUGAUCGUCACUUAUGUCCUCACGACCACUUUGAAAAUGUUGAAACUACUCGUGCACUCUGCUACGGGUUGGGCAAUUAUUGUCAUAAACUUGUUUUAUCAAUUGAAACGUUUCGGUAAAAGUUUUACUAAUUUUAAAACAAAAUUUAAUGUUGGCUCUUUUUUCGAAGCUCAUUUUCGCACCGAUAACACAAACAUACUGACACUUAAAACGCAAUAACUUAACUUCCAUUCUUUUCCAUUCUAUGAAAUGUCAUGAAAUUCUCACUGGACAAUCGACAAAGAUAGAUAAAGAUAAUUCUAACGCACCAGUCGACAUGGCACCAUCAGGUGGCGCUAGACUCAAAAAGUCCUGUUUACUUUGGAACGCACUUUAUACAAAUAGAUCAAUAUUGCUCAUGAUGCUUUCCUUAAAAAUCUCGUAAAAUAUCUGCAUUGGAAACAAAUUGGUCUAUUAUUGUUUUGACUAGAGAUCUUGGUACUUUAGAAGUUUACGAUAUUGUGCACGAUUGUACACUCUUCUAGUAGAUUGUAUUUUCUCUUUUCAGAUCUGCAGCUCGAAUUAUUUUCUCCAGGAGUAGAUUGAAAAAGUCGCACGAUAGGGAGUCGCCUUGUCUGAAACUUCAUUUGGUAUCGAUCGGCUCGGCGAGGUCCUUCUCGAUCCUGAUGGAGCUUUUGGUAUUGCUUAACGUCAUUUUAACCAGCUCUAUUAGUUUUGCAGGGAUACCAUAUUCAGAAAUCGCGGCAUUAGGGAGCUCUUUUCGUGAUGUCCAAAGCAGUUUUGAAAUCGACGAAGAGGUGAAGUGUGUCGAAUAGAAAAACAUUCGGCUGUCCGUUGUAAUUGCAACUACCCGACGUCAAACUUUCCUUGUGUUUGUUGACGUACGUUUUUUGCUGCACAGAGGCGGGUGCGUAUCUUGGCUGCAAAAAGGUAGUGGUCCGAGUUAAUAUUAGGACCAAGAGGCGUACGCUCAUCUAAAACACGAAAAACACGGAGAAAUCGAUCAGCAUCAGCUCAUUUGGGGUUGUUUCAUCACGGAGGCUGAAUUUACCAAUCGUUCUUUUUAGUACCUUUUUAGUCCACCCUGGCGCUAAAGUCGCCAAGCACGAUUUUGACAUCGUGGCGGGGGCAGCUCUCAUAGGUGCGCUCCAUGCGCUUAUAGAAAACAUUCUUUCUUUUCAUGCGGAUCGUGACUAUACGUUUAACCACCGGACAGGAUGCCAGUACACGGCGUUGGGGUCUCUCACUCACUACGAAUCCCACACCGAAUUUGCGCUGCUUUACAUGGCCACUAUAGUAAAUGCCACAAGGACCUACUCUUUUCAGUCCUUGUCCCAUCCAUCGCACUUCUUGAACUUAAAACGUGGUUCUUAAUGUGUUUGCUGUGGUCGUCAUCAAAAGAGGGGGGUUUCUCAUCCGAGGUUGUUGUUUCCUUUUCACAUGGCUCCACUCUUACUAAUAAAAAAUCAUAAUGAUUGUGAUUGAUUUCUUAAAGACUUUCACGAAUGCUUGAAUUCUCAUUUUGAAUACACGCUAAGUUUUUGUGGCUAAUACUAAUAACUUUAGGUUAUAUCCGUAUUUUUAAUACGUACUUUAGAAAAAAAUUGUGUUAAAAGUUUUGUAAUGCCUCGAUGUAGAGAAUCAUAUUGUAAGCUACAAAAUAUAUGACAAUAAAUUCUUGCAGAAGUCUGCUGCGUGCUAAUUCAAGGAUCAAUUGAAGUUCUGAAAAAUGGAAGGAGAAUGUUUUUCUAAUAACUGUACAACAUUUCGUGUUUCAAUUUCAGAAUUCGGAUUGGGAAAUAAACUGGCUUUUCUCCAGAAUAUUGGAUCUAUUUCCAAAGAAAAGGAAAACUCAUUUUCUAUUUUACAUUUCGACUUUAGACCCAUUUUAUAUUGAUAUAACAACAUUACUUUCGUAGUCUGUCCAACUCAUAUUUACUUCAAUAAAAAUGUUCACGUUUUUCUAACAAUUCGUGGUUAUUAAAAUAAUUAUUGUUUAUUUAUCAGAGAUUGGAAUUACGAUUAUAUUAAAACCGUCAUCCAUCGUAUAAGUAACAUAACCGUAUAUCUCAUAUUCUCACAUAUAUCAACACAUAUGUAUAUAUACAUAAACGCGCAAACACAUAUACAAUUUUUUGUUUUAGCCAUGCAUUGAUAUCAUCAGAGACCGUCUGUCUGCCUGUCAGUCUGCUUCUGGUUGCUUUGAAGUGCAUAAUGAAAUUUCACAUAACUGCCGCAGCUGUAGCACGGCGGGUAGGCCAAGUGGGGUGGAAAUCAGUAGUUGUGCUGGAUUACAUAUCGCCAAUAAAAGAAAUGAAAUUGAGUUAAGGGCAAAAGUUCAUUUUAUUUCCAUGGGUGGACUUCAACAUUUGCCAACUGCUACAAUCGGAUAAACCACAAAGCGGCGGCUCCAGGAAACUGUCGGAAAAUAACUAGCUACGAUUUCAAAUCCAAUAACUGCACUGAGCCACCAUAUUUUAUAAUCAUUUCAACACAAAACGCUGCGCGUCUACUGCAUAUUUAUUCCGCCAGCGCAUUGAAAUUCAUUCUAUGUGCGGCAAGGCAAUCUACUUGGUUGGGAUUACUGUGGAUAGUGCUGCACGAACUUGUGGGCGGAAUAUUAUAUAAUUAUAUACAUAUAUAUUUGCAACAAAAGGACUUAUGACGUUCUGCGCUCAGUGCUUCAUUAAGGUACCUUACAUAGAAUCACUAAUCACAUGGAGGAAAGUCAGCCGGAUGUUCGAAAAUCCUGAUAACUCAUAUAUUGGCCCAUUUGUGCAGCAUAAAGUCAUCCAGAAGUUCCAUAAUCUUUAUAUUGGGUAUAUGGGGGUCAAGGAAGUAUGGAACCAUUAUAACUUCUUGAUUUGUACACUAAACGGAACUUAAAAUUGUGUUAUACGAGUAUGGGAAGUAGGCGUGGUUUUAGUCCGAUUUUGCACUGUGACAUGGGAAUAUGAAUACGCCACGUUUAAAUUUUCUCGCAAUUGUUUGGUGAUAUGUGAUUUCACCCAAAAGUGAGCGGUGACAUGCCUUUCGUCCAAUUUUUAUACCAGCCCCAACAAAGACCUCUCAUACUAUCUCGGAGAUGUAUAUAGAAACAGACAGACAACCGGACUUGGCUAAACCAACUUAGCUCAUCACGUUAAUCACUUCAAUAUAUUUUUUAUAGGGUUUCCCACGUUUUGAUCAGUUUAGUACAUACUUCGUGGCAAACCGAACAUACCCUGUUCAUUAAAAAAGGGUGAAAAAAUACGUUUCUACGUUAUAUGUCCUCUAAUAUUUUCAUAAAAUAUAAGCAUAUAAGUUUUGAAUGAGAGAGCUUAAGUGACUUUAGUCGUUGCCUGCAAUUCAAAAUUUAUGAUGUUGUUAAAACUUACUUGGAAAGUGUCGCUACCAAAAUUAUUAUACUCAAACCAAAUCGUAAAGCUAAAUAAUGCAGUAAAUAUGUAUAUACACCCACAUUAAGUUAUGAGUUGGUAUGAGCAUUUGAAAUCGCCAAGCAGUUAAUAAAAGGUAAUGAUGUUUAUAUAAUGAUAAUAAAGGACCACUUAAAUUCACUCCAAUGCCAAGUGCAUUUCAGUUUUUUCUCGUAUGCACUCGUAGUCUGCAAAAUAUUGCACCUUUUUGAGUUGCUGCCAAAUCGUGUGCAUGAAAUAUUCCAAUUGACUGCCAUUUCGCUAAUAUUAAGUACCGUUAGUGGCACUUGAUACAGGUGGUGGUGUGUGCAUUUUCCCUUUGUGGUCGUGGAUUUUAUUAUGCAUUUGCUUAACAUUUUUAAAUAAAUAUAUAUGUAGUACUCUUGUAUAAAACUAUGCGCAAGUGUUGCUGGGCAUGUGAUUGUGCACACAAUAGGAAAUAUGAAAGAAGAAAUAAGGAAGGGAAAAUAAUGCGAGUGCAGAUACAUUAUAUAUAUGGUAUAGUCUCGAAGCUCGCAUGAAUCUGGGGAUUUAUGGUGUAUUUAAAACUUUAAAUUAACUAGAAUAAAUAAAGCAAUUAUAUAAUAUUUACAACAUACACAUUUUGGUAAUCUCUCUUAUUUAAUAUAUUUAUUGAAAUAUACGGUAUAAAGUCAACUGUAUGCUUGUCAUGAAGGUAGCCAAUAUAAAGAAUUUAUAUGCGGUAUUUGCGAUCAUCAUUUUUCUUGUCAGUGCCAAUUGGCAUCCACCACUUCUUUAACCGAGACACAGCUAUAGUAUAUCUUUAAAGUUUUUGUUGUGUAAAUAUUGAUAAAUUCCCAUAGGAAUAUGAAAUAUAUUGGGUACAAACAGGAACUAGCUGAGUAUAUUAUAAUGUCUCUUAUUACAAAUGGAUAAUAGCGAGGAUCACAACAGACAGUCGAACGAUUUUCGACUCGACUCAUCAGGGAACUGUGGGACGACAUUUCAAGCUCCUUACAUACAGCUGCAAACGAAAUCAUGGGUUUUCGGAAAAGGCAAAAGAACAGCUGGUACGAAGAGGAGUGCCGUGACUGCUUACCUCGCAACGUUACGAUCGACCACAACACGAGCGAGAUGGGAUAGAUGCCAUGAUUUGAAGAGGAAAGCGAGACACAUUUGCAGAUAAGCAAAGAGAGGGCCGAAAUGCGUGAGUACGAAGAGCUUGACAAGCUGGUUGAUAAGGGUAAUGCUCAAAAAUUCAACGAAAAGAUGCGGUGACUAACGGAAGGUUUCAAAUGCAGAGCAUAUUCUUGUAGAACCCCCGAGAUGAUCUAGUGACUGAUGCUCAGAGCAUACUGAAGUUAUGGAGGGAAUACUUCUCCAACCUGCUGGCAGAGAAAGCGUAACACCAGGAGAUGGUGAACCAAAUUUCUCAAUCGAUGACGAUGGAGCAGACGUUCCAUUGUCCGACCAUGAAUAAGUUCGAAAAGCAAUUACCUAUCUGAAGAACAACAAAGCGGCGGGGGCCGAUGGAUUGCCGACCGAGCUAUACAAAAAACGGCGAUGGAGAACUGUAAAGGAGCAUGCAUCAGUUUCUUUGUAAAAUAUGGUCGGACGAAAACAUGCCCGAAGAUUGGUAAUUAAAUGUGCUCUGCCCAACCCACAAAAAGGGAGACCUCACCCCCUGCGCCAAAUACCGUGGGAUAAGCCUCUUCAACAUCGCGUAUAAGGUUCUAUCGAGCGUAAUGUAAUCGCUUAAACCACUCAUGCACAUUACUAUGGGAUAGGCACUGAUCACCAUAAACCUUUUUCAUCAUUUGAAAUGUUUCAGUAAACGCUUUCCCAAGUUUAAAACAAAAUUUAAUAUUUGCUCUUUGUUCAAAAUGCAUUUUACGACCGAUGACCAAAAGCUGCUGUCACUUUUUGAUUGAUAAAAUCGAUUGUAGUUAUCCAAUUAUCUUAAAAUUUGUACGAAAGGUCAACAAGAGAUCAAACUUUUUAUUUCAUAUACCCACCAAUAAGUGGCGCCACCAGAAACAGUUAUAUUUAAAAAGUUCUGUUUCUUUUGCGACAGACUUUGUAGCUACAUUAAAGAGCUUUCUGCAAUCUUUCUUUGAUUUUGAAGUCACCACAGGAUCCUAAUUCUUCCCUAGGUACGCCAUGUUCUUAGGUUGGAAUGGAGGAAUGGUAGGAAUGCGUUUUUUCGCCUCUUGUA